AUAAACGCUGGCGGCGCACAUAAGACAUGCAAGUUGAACGGACUUAAUCGAAAUAUUUAUCUUUUGAAGCGGUUAGUGGCGGACUGGUGAGUAACGCGUAAGGAACCUGCCUAUUAGAGGGGAAUAACAGUGAGAAAUCAUUGCUAAUACCGCAUAUGCCAUAGAUAUCACAUGAUAACAGUGGGAAAGGAGCAAUCCGCUAAUAGAUGGCCUUGCGUCUGAUUAGAUAGUUGGUGGGGUAACGGCCUACCAAGUCGACGAUCAGUAGCCGGACUGAGAGGUUGAACGGCCACAUUGGGACUGAGAUACGGCCCAGACUCCUACGGGAGGCAGCAGUCGGGAAUAUUGCGCAAUGGAGGAAACUCUGACGCAGUGACGCCGCGUAUAGGAAGAAGGUUUUCGGAUUGUAAACUAUUGUCGUUAGGGAAGAGAAAGGACAGUACCUAAGGAGGAAGCUCCGGCUAACUACGUG
rnacentral:rRNA from 1 species